rnacentral:snoRNA from 1 species
GCGAAAGAUUAAAGAUUUUUAACCCCGAUUACAUCAUGAAGAUGAAAAACAGCAACAACCAAACACUCUAAUUUUUUCAUGACG